AUUGAACGCUGGCGGCAUGCCUUACACAUGCAAGUCGAACGACGCCAGGGGGCAACUCCUGGCGAGUGGCGAACGGGUGAGUAAUACAUCGGAACGUGUCCUGUCGUGGGGGAUAACCAGUCGAAAGACUGGCUAAUACCGCAUGAGAUCGAGAGAUGAAAGCGGGGGACCCGCAAGGGCCUCGCGCGACUCGAGCGGCCGAUGUCGGAUUAGCUAGUUGGCGGGGUAAUGGCCCACCAAGGCGACGAUCCGUAGCUGGUUUGAGAGAACGACCAGCCACACUGGGACUGAGACACGGCCCAGACUCCUACGGGAGGCAGCAGUGGGGAAUUUUGGACAAUGGGCGCAAGCCUGAUCCAGCCAUGCCGCGUGUGUGAAGAAGGCCUUCGGGUUGUAAAGCACUUUCGGACGGAACGAAAUCGCGCGGGUGAACAAUCCGCGUGGAUGACGGUACCGCAAGAAGAAGCACCGGCUAACUACGUGCCAGCCGCCGCGGUAA
rnacentral:rRNA from 1 species